UCCGGCUUAUCACCGGCAGUUUCUUCAGAGUGCUCAGCAUUACCUGAUGGCAACUGAAGAUGAGGGUUGCGCUCGUUGCGGGACUUAACCCAACAUCUCACGACACGAGCUGACGACAGCCAUGCAGCACCUGUAUUAGACCCAGCCGAACUGAAGGAAAUCAUUUCUGAAAUCCGAAAUCUAACAUGUCAAGGGCUGGUAAGGUUCUUCGCGUUGCAUCGAAUUAAACCACAUGCUCCACCGCUUGUGCGGGUCCCCGUCAAUUCCUUUGAGUUUUAACCUUGCGGCCGUACUUCCCAGGCGGAGUGCUUAACGCGUUAACUACGAUACUGAAGGGUAAACCCUCCAACAUCUAGCACUCAUCGUUUAGGGCGUGGACUAC
rnacentral:misc_RNA from 1 species